UGGGGAAUAUUGCACAAUGGGGGAAACCCUGAUGCAGCGACGCCGCGUGAAGGAAGAAGUAUCUCGGUAUGUAAACUUCUAUCAGCAGGGAAGAAAAUGACGUACCUGACUAAGAAGCCCCGGCUAACUACGUGCCAGCAGCCGCGGUAAUACGUAGGGGGGCAAGCGUUAUCCGGAUUUACUGGGUGUAAAGGGAGCGUAGACGGAGCAGCAAGUCUGAUGUGAAAAGGCGGGGGCUCAACCCCCGGACUGCAUUGGGAAACUGUUCGAUCUUGAGUACCGGAGAGGUAAGCGGAAUUCCUAGUGUAGCGGUGAAAUGCGUAGAUAUUAGGAGGAACACCAGUGGCGAAGGCGGCUUACUGGACGGUAACUGACGUUGAGGCUCGAAAGCGUGGGGAGCAAACAGGAUUAGAUACC
rnacentral:rRNA from 1 species